ensembl:miRNA tgu-mir-30a tgu-mir-30a
UUGGGGCAGUCAGUGCCUCUGUAAACAUCCUUGACUGGAAGCUGGAAGGGCUGGAAGGAGCUUUCAGUCGGAUGUUUACAGCAGCAGGCUGC